CUUCGCAAGCCGGGGGACAAGGGUUCGAGUCCCUUAUCCACCAUUUGUUUUUAGGACGAAUAAAUGGAGGUUUUGCUUUUUAGUAUUGCUACGUGAGUUGUAUUCGAUUUUAAAACUGUAGUAAAAUCCAUUAAAUUUAUUAUAGUCUUUAUCCUAGAAUAAAUUGUUUUUUAUAAUUUUUGUAUAUUAUUCAUUUUUAUUUGUGUUCUUUAAGUAAGUUCGUGAUUUUAAAUAUGCGUGUUAGUGCUUUGCUUUAACAAGCAUUGAGCUUGAGCUUUGUCUUUAAAAUAUUGCAUUAUUGUUAGAUGGACCUUUAUCGAUUUUCAUGCAUUGGGCCAGG
rnacentral:misc_RNA from 1 species